rnacentral:misc_RNA from 1 species
GAUGAAGAACGCAGCGAAAUGCGAUAAGUAAUGUGAAUUGCAGAAUUCAGUGAAUCAUCGAAUCUUUGAACGCACCUUGCGCCCUUUGGCUAUUCCGAAGGGCAUGCCUGUUUGAGUAUCGUGAACACCUCAACUCUCAUGGUUUGCCAUGAUGAGCUUGGACUUUGGGGGUUUUGCUGGCCUUUGGUCGGCUCCUCUCAAACGGAUCAGCUUUCCAGUGUUUGGUGGCGUCACGGCUGUGAUAACUAUCUACGCCUGUGGUUUUCUGCCAGAUAACCUUCAGCGAUGGAGGUUCGCUGGGGCUCAUAAAUGUCUCUCUUCAGUGGAGACAGCUUUUUGGACGUUUGAUCUCAAAUCAGGUAGGACUACCCGCUGAACUUAAGCAUAUCAAUAAGCGGAGGA